CAGGCGCGAAAACUUUACAAUGCUGGCAACAGCGAUAAGGGGACCUCGAGUGCCAGGAUACAAUCUUGGCUGUCGCGAUGCCUAAAAAGCAUUGCAUAGCAAGGGCCGGGCAAGACCGGUGCCAGCCGCCGCGGUAACACCGGCGGCUCGAGUGGUAACCGCUAUUAUUGGGUCUAAAGGGUCUGUAGCCGGCCGGAUAAGUCUUUUGGGAAAUCCAGCUGCUCAACAGUUGGGCUUUCAGAAGAUACUGUUCGGCUCGAGACCGGGAGAGGUGAGAGGUACUUCAGGGGUAGGGGUGAAAUCUUGUAAUCCUUGAAGGACCACCAGUGGCGAAGGCGUCUCACCAGAACGGAUCUGACGGCAAGGGACGAAAGCUAGGGGCACGAACCGGAUUAGAUACCCGGGUAGUCCUAGCCGUAAACGAUACUCGCUAGGUGUCAGCCACGGUGCGACCGUGGUUGGUGCCGUAGGGAAGCCGUGAAGCGAGCCACCUGGGAAGUACGGCCGCAAGGCUGAAACUUAAAGGAAUUGGCGGGGGAGCAC
rnacentral:rRNA from 1 species